UUUUAUAAAAUAUAUUUAAAGGUAGGGAGCCCCAAUUUUUUUUUUCUGCCUAGAGCCCUGGAAAUCCCAGGGCCGGCUCUGCCCUAUAGUAGAUUAGCUGGGUUAGAUCUGACACUUACAAGCGAGGUAUCUGAUAGUAUGUUCUUGCUUAUGUGAACCUGGGAAGAAGUUCUCAGAUACUAUGAAGUUUCCUACCUAAUUGAUUUUUUUCUGUGUUUUUUUUUGAAGUUUGCAGGUAUUUGAGCAAUUAUGGUUCCAAGUAACCCUUCUAUUCUUCUCCAUGUAACUAAUUUAGUUUCCCAAAUUGCACAGUUUUUCCUUUUUCAUGUCGAUGGGCUAAUGUAUGUAUAAUCUAUAUUUUCAAUACGUUUUCCAUGGCUAUUGUAACUCCUUAAUUGUAUUAUUUUGGUUAGGGUUUAGUGAUUGAUGCUAUUAUAGUUGUGCUUUUUUAGUUUUCUGUGUGGUGAUUUAGCAUUCCUUCUUUGGCUUUUUUUGUUCCUGAACAGGGUAGUGGUAAAAAAAUUCUGGUGAGGAAGAAAACAAGGAAAUAAAGACAGUGGUUAUGCAAAGGGAUAAUGCCAUUAGCCAGCAAAGGAUUUCUACCCACCCUGAAAAUAUUGGCAGCUUGCAUGGUUUGGUGAGAAAAAUAUGAGCAGCAUUGGGUAUAGAAGGAUGCUAUUCACAUAGAUAUGUUAAUAGGUCACUUGAAAUUUCCUGAUUACAUAUAAUCUUUAUCAUUAAGCCGCUUGAAGAUUUUGUGAGUUCAAAGAUAACUUGGAUGUAGUGCAGCCGU